rfam:Amborella trichopoda AMTR_V1.0_contig_9205, whole genome shotgun sequence.
UGUCAAUGAUGAUAAAAGGAAAGGCUUGUUUCUCAGAAAAACAUUCGCAGUGGCCGCCUAAGAGCUUUCGCCCCGCCAGGCUUGAGAGCUAAUGCUGCCUAACUCUUCCUUGGAUGUCUGAGACA